AAAUCGGGGGUUAUGAGGGGAAAUCGGGGGUCGUGAGGGAAGAUUAGAGGUUCUGAGGGGAGAUCAGGGAUUGUGAAGGGGGAAUCGAGGAUGUUGAGGGGAAACCGGAGGUUCUGAGGCGGGUUCGGGGAUUAUGAGGGGAAAUCGGGGGUCGUGAGGGAAGAUUUGAGGUUCUAAAGGGGAGAUCAGGGAUCGUGAGGGGAGAUCGGGGGUCUCGGUGCGGGUCGGUGAUCUCUGGGAAAUUUGUUCUCUCUUGGACGCAUUGUUGGCUUGAUUCUCGCUGUCCCUGAGGGAAAAUUAAAAUUUGGGGUUCCCGGUCUCUUUGUGGGGGGGGACUCUCCCCAAUCCCGGGGGGCUUUCGCGGUGAUGAUGCCAAAGACUAGAGUCUCCGAGCCCCCUGAGGACAGCACCGGCCUGAGCGAAGCCCCCAGACCCACAAAACCCCCUUAAAUCCCCCCGGGUUCCCCCCGGUUCUCACCCCAUUCCUCCCCCGCGUAUCGCAGGUGAUCGUGACCGGCGGGACCGCGCUGAGACCCCCCCGGUAAGACCCCCGUGAUCCCCCCAGAUAAAUCCACGGCGGCGGCGGCGAUGAGGAACCGGUUCAAAAGCUCUGAUCCGCCGUGAGGACACACUCGCAGCGCACUGAGCCGCCGCCGCCAUGCCGGGACCUUCCCCGGGCUCGCUUUCUCCUCGUUUGACUCUGCUUUUCUUCCGCAGCCCCCCGAGAUGGAGGAAGAGGCACCGAAAGCUCCGCUGAACGGUUGAGGCCAACGAGGGACAAAACCUGGAUCAAAAAAUGAAAUUUUGGGGUUUUUUUGGAGCUUUUAAAAGGAAAUUCUGGAGCCUUUUUUAGGGAAUAUUUGGGAUUUUUUGGGGGGCUUUUUGUUAUUUAUUUGGAGAUUUUUUUUGGAGCUUUUAAUUUUAGUUUUUUCAAAUUGUUUGAGCCUUUUUGGGGCUUUUUUCUUCCUUUUUUUUGCCUUUUUUGUCUUUUUUUCUCCUUUUUUUUUUGCUUUUUCCAGAUUUUUGUUCAUCUUUUGGUGACAAUUUCUCAUCUUUAAAUGAAUAUCCUUCAUUUCCCUUCAUUUCUUUCAAUAAACCUUAAUAAAAAUCCCAAUUUAAAUUUAUUCAAAUGAAUUCUUUCUUUUCCCCAAAAAAAUUCCCUCUUUUUCCCCUCCAUAAUUCCCUGGCUUUAAUAUAAUAUUAUAUAAUAUUCCUGGUUUUCCCCCAAAAAAUCAAAUUUUUACCCCCAAAAAAUCCCAUUUCUCCCACAAAAAACCCCAUUUUUUUCCCCAAAAACCUCCCAAUUCCCCCCCCCAAAAUCCCCUUUUAUUUCCCUCCACAAUUCCCGCGAUUUCCCCAUAAAAUUCCCGGUUUUUCCCCAAAAAAUUCCCAUUUUUUUUCCCCUCCAAUGACGCAAAUUCCGUGACUCAAAAUUCGGGAAUUUCCCCAACCUCGCGCCAAGUGGGCGUGGCCUCUCCUGAAACCCCGCCCCCUCUGCUCUCCACCAAUCAACUCUCACCUUGGGCUCUCCACCAAUCAACUCUCACCUUGGGAGUGGCCUCCGCCCCCCGUUAUAACCUCGAGGUCGCGGGUUCGAAUCCCGGCAUUUCCUUUUUCACCAUGUCGAUGGUAGCGGCGGUCGCGGCCACCGCGAGGUGUCCGGGUCGGGUUUGGGGACAUCUCGAGGGUGUCCCCAAAGGGGUGGCACCGUCCCCACCUCGUCACUUCACCUUCGAACCCCUCCCGCCGCCCCCCGGCCCCUCCAGGCCUCGGCGGCGCCAUCGGCGCGUUCUUUAUCCGCCCGCUGUGCGUCGCCCCCUCCCCUCGGAAGAACCCAGCGCCGCCAAGCGACUCCUGCUGCUCCUCCUGGCCGUGGUGGGCACCCAAAUCUACAACACCCCCGGUGACCUCCCCGAUGUCACCUCGGCGGCCACAAGGACACCCUUGGGGACACCCCCAAUUCCAGAGGGACCCCAAAUUCCAGCCUGGAACACCAACGGGACAACGGUGGUGGCACCCAUGGGUGGCUCCUGCCCCUCGUUGUCGGUGUCACCGCCUUUGUCACCUCCUUUGUCGCCGCCUUUGUCGCCCCCUGGUGGCGCCAGGACGAGCUGAGGGACCCCCCCGGAAAUCUGGGGGCGGUGCCCGGGACUGCCACGCCCUCCUGGAUUAAUUAACGAGGUCGUUAAUUAAGGUGGAAGAGCUCCAGGGUUGGAAGAAACCAAUGGAUGUUGGACGAUCCCAGUUUGGAACUGGGAGGACUGGAAAGGGGCGGAGUCACAGAUUGAGAUGGAUUUUCCCACUCCUUUAUUAAUUAACUGGUUAAUUAACACCAAAUUAAUGACCAGCUCAUUAAUUAGCUCCCAAUUAAGGUGGGGAACAAACCCAACGUUGGAAUUUUGUGGUUGCCCAAUCCCAGUUUGGAACUGGGAGCACUGGAAAGGGGCGUGGUCAGGAUGGCCUCGUUAACGAGGUUUUAAUUAACGAGGUCGCCUCUACCUCAGCUUCAGCGCCUGUGGCUGCUGGAUUUCUUAAUUGUUAUUAAUUAUUUAUAUGUUAUUUAUUUGUUAUUAUUUAUUUGUUAUUAUUUAUUUGUCAUUAUUUAUCAUUAUUUAUUUAUUAUUAUUUAUUUGUCAUU